rnacentral:rRNA from 1 species
UACGAAGGGGGCUAGCGUUGCUCGGAAUUACUGGGCGUAAAGGGCGCGUAGGCGGACAGUUUAGUCAGAGGUGAAAGCCCAGGGCUCAACCUUUGGAAUAGCCUUUGAUACUGACUGUCUUGAGUUCGGGAGAGGUGAGUGGAAUGCCGAGUGUAGAGGUGAAAAUUCGUAGAUAUUCGGCGGAACACCAGUGGGCGAAAGGCGACUCACUG